GGGGAUGUAGCUCAGUUGGGUAGAGCGCUUGCCUCGCAUGCAAGAGGUCGGGGGUUCGAAUCCCCCCAUCUCCA
rnacentral:tRNA from 1 species